rnacentral:rRNA from 1 species
UACGAAGGGUGCUAGCGUUGUUCGGAAUUACUGGGCGUAAAGCGCGCGUAGGCGGUCUAUCAAGUCAGAGGUGAAAGCCCUGGGCUCAACCCAGGAACUGCCUUUGAAACUGAUAGACUAGAGUACUGGAGGGGAUAGCGGAAUUCCUAAUGUAGAGGUGAAAUUCGUAGAUAUUAGGAGGAACACCGGUGGCGAAGGCGGCUAUCUGGACAGUAACUGACGCUGAGGCGCGAAAGCGUGGGGAUCAAACAGG